UACAGAGGGGGCAAGCGUUGUUCGGAAUUACUGGGCGUAAAGGGCGCGUAGGCGGCCCGCUAAGUCGAAACGUGAAAUCCCCGAGCUCAACUCGGGAACUGCGUCCGAUACUGGUGGGCUUGAAUCCGGGAGAGGGAUGCGGAAUUCCAGGUGUAGCGGUGAAAUGCGUAGAUAUCUGGAGGAACACCGGUGGCGAAGGCGGCAUCCUGGACCGGCAUUGACGCUGAGGCGCGAAAGCUAGGGGAGCAAACGGG
rnacentral:rRNA from 1 species